ACCCGGAAGCAAAAGGACAAAUGUCGCGAGAGUUGAGGCAGCCGCUUGGGCUUCAAGUCUCGCGAGACUGGCGAGGCUUGGGGAUGGGGUGUCUGGGCUGGGAAGUGCGCGCGCAGGCGGCGGUUGCGCGCUUGUUCGUCGGCAGUUAUGCGCUUGCUUUCUGGCUAAAUUGUAACAAGUUUUAUUGCUUUCAAAAUACCAUUCUCGUAAGCAUUUAGCUCAAGAGGCUUCUCUUUUCAAAUUGCCACUUCACCUGAACAUGCUGCUUCGGGGUAGCAGCUGCUGAGUGGCAAAGGCAAGCAGCAGGGCUGAGGCACAGCCCUAGUUACAAACUGUAAUAGUGGGCCUGAGCGGGAUUCUGCAGCAUGAGCAGUGAGCACAGAGCCAGCCACCAGCCAGCUGCUAUCCAAACCAGACAGAAUAAUCCAGAGCCAGGUAUUUUCUGUUGUCUCCAGUAGAUGUUCCACUUGACUGUACACAAUCAAGCUCUACUUGAGGAGGUAAAUCGCUGUGUUAGCAAGAAGAUAAGCCCAAGCCUCUACUGACACAAGAAAAAACCUUCGGAUUACAACAGCAGCAGUUCCAAAUAACCUUAAUUCAAGUUCCUUCCCACUGAAAGAACAGUCAGAACUUUUAAUAUAAUUUGAAAGGCUGUCAGAAAAGCUUUUUAAAAUAAAACAAUCUCUUCACUAAAGGGAAGAAAAAUUGCUUUCCUUGUUCUUGUUUUUUUUCAGGUUUUGUUUUGUUUGUUUGUUUGUUUGCUUGCUUUUUCUGCCUUUAAUGAAGCGCUUGAAAGACUUUUGUUACUCUCCAUAUAUUCUGUACAUUACUCAGACUGUGACAACUGGAACUCCAGUAUCAGAAUAAGGAAAGAGUUGUCCCUGCACACUGAGAAGCCUCAGCAGCAAGUUCUAAUAAUUUCUUUAACCUUUUAAACAAAGUUCACAGAGUUUGUUCUAACAGUGGUGCUUUUUGCCUUUCUUUCCUUAUGCAGUUAGGUUCUGGUUGCUUUUCCUCCAAGCCUUUGAAUAAAUUUAUUUUAACAGCAUCUGCACAUUAAA